AGUGGGUGUGUGUGGUGGUGAGGGAUUUGAGGGCUGAUGGAUGAGCCUGUUUCAUCAGCAGGUGCAAGGAGAGGCAAAGAAGGUGAGUGCUGCAACUGAUUGAACCAGAGCGGAGAACACAGGGAGAGGACAUCAGGUCAGGCAAAGAACAUUUCUUCCCCGAACAUGGCUAUUCACCGCUGGGGGCCUUCUCUUCUUCACCGCUUUUCACUGUCAGGUAGUAGAUGCGGUUGGCCUCGGGGUAGGUGACUUUGCUAAGUGGGAGUCUGAAGAUGGCUGGGUUGUUUG
rnacentral:lncRNA from 1 species